GCACCCCCCGCACGUCUGGCGCCUAUGAUCCAUUGUGCUGCCGAUGUGAAGAUGUGGCGCCGCCAGCAGCUCUGCAGUCGCACAUCUGAGCAGAGCCGCCUGCGGUAGCACCGGGGCGGGUGCACUGCGGGCUGCGGCGCGGGCACUGUGACUGUUGGUGGGGCACUGUAGUCAGCGUAUGUAUGACAGCCCCUAAGAAAUAUGGCGGCCGCUCCGGGAGGACGGCUGCUGCGCAUGCCCGGCUGCAGCAGCUCCUCCUCCCAUGGUCCUUUGCGGAGUCAGUGAGACUCCGGGCACUGCGCCACCACUGAGCCUGGACCCUGCUAGUAUUCUGUCAGAAGAGGAGGACGUACCAUACAACCGAUCCCCACAUAUAAGUGAUCACCAGCAAUACAUGUGGGCCCGGGGGCGGGGCGGAACGGAGAGCCGCGAGUGCUGUCAGAGCAGUGUACACUGCUUCCUCUCCCCUCUCUUUCUCCUCAACGCUGCAGGUCAUCAGAAAUUAUGGUGGAGCCGAUGGAAGCACCUUUAUUCAGGAUCUGCAGCUCUGAUCUGCUGCGUCCUGUGUGCUGCCUGAGCUCCUCCUCCGCUGGGUGCAGCUCAUUCACAAUCUGAGAUCACAAUCCCUACCUGCCUUUAACUGUUUUGCAAGAGCCAGGCUGAAAGACAUAUCUGCAAGGUGGCUGGACCAGCAAAUGUCACGGGACCAACAAGUGACGGUGGAAUACCAAGCUCUGGCAUCUGGAUAGGCCCGAAGCUGAGGCCUGGAUUUCCCGACUCCCGGACCAUCCUCUGCUGCGACCACACCAAUGCUGCUGUGUGCUGGGCCCGUUUGACACCAAGAGCGUAGCUACCGUACGUGCAUGCAGUGAAGCUGCUAUAGGGCCCAGAGCUGAGAAGGGCCACCUUACCUGUGAAAGUUACAUGUGUUAUAUACAUUUUUCAUCAUUGAGUGGUACGCAGGGAUCCUUUUAAACUUUUUCCUUGGGGCCUGCAAUAUAUCUGGGUAUGCCCCAGGACCUGCUCAUUGUAGUGUAGUAUAAAAUGAACUGGAGGGCAUUUUAAUGUUAUAGAAUAUGAACCGGGCACUGUAAUGAGCCACAGUAUGAACGGGGAGCACUAUAUAUCAUAAUGUGAAUUGGGGAUACUGUGCGGCAUAAUGGGUACUGGCAGCUCUGAAAUGUAACAUAGGGUGAACUUAUGCACUACUGCAAUUCAUCAAAAGAAACUAGGUCACUACUAUCAUUAAAUAAAGCUCUUCUAUGGUUCAGAAAA